rnacentral:tRNA from 1 species
GGCCCCGUAGCUUAGCGGUCAAAAGCUGUCGACUCAUAACCGAAGGAGCGCAGGUUCGAAUCCUGCCGGGGCUACCA